rnacentral:lncRNA from 1 species
UCCUGAUCACAAUCACCCCCUCAAAAACCCCUUUAGAGACAAACGAAACACCGCCGCCCGCCACCACGCCGGAAAUCGCCAACAGCGGUGGUCGGCGACCAAUCCCUCCCAUUGUUACACCAUAGACUCCCCUCGACCUCCCCGUUCCAAAUCCACACUCCAUUAACUUCGAAUCUUCACCGUUUGUCUCGAAUAUUAGAUCGAAAGAUCAGACCCUAAUUCACCCAAUCACUACCAAAAUCACACCAGUCAACCACCUGACCACCCUCGUCCCAAAUCGCACCCCGGUUUUGUUCGAAUCUCGCUAGAACUGUUCGAAUCUUAAAUCGAAUGAACGAGCCCUAGAAAAUCCAAUUUCCAGGCUUUGUGCAAAUUAUGAGCUUGAGGUCUCAACCGACCUUAGUCGAGUGUUCUCAGUCGAGAACACUAGAUUAAGGUCCGUUUGGGCCUCAAAAGUUCGAGUCAAAGCUUCGAUGAGAACGGAGUUUGUUUGCUUUCUGAUUCCUUAGGUAUUCCUUCUAUUUUCCUUUUUAUAUAUCAUUUUGUUAUUGUUGUUUAUCUCUUUAGUUUUUGUUGUAACUCAUAUUUUGUUCAUUACUUUUCUUCUUUGUCCAUCAGACCUUUUAUUUGGUCCAGUUUCACCAUUGUUUAUGUUGUUGUCAAUUAUCAUAUGUUCUAAUUGCGGAAUCGAUUCAAAUAGCUUAAUCGAUUAGUUAGUUUUCUUGUAGCUCUUUGUUUUUGUUCCAGGCUACUCGAAUCCCCUGUACCCCUCCCAAUUUUGUUCAAGACUAUAUGGUCCAAUUCACUUGCAUGUUUGGUUUACUCUAGAUUUCUUUUCCUUCUUUGAGUGAUUUGAACUAGUCAGUGCUUAGUAUGUCUUGUGUAAAAAAAAGUGGUUGUUCCCGUAAUUUCUCGCUAUUACUAUUAGUUCAAGGGGUUUCAUCUUUGUUAUCUACUUCCAUAUGAAUUCUAGUUGGUUGUCAUUUAGUGUAUUUGCAUUGUUCGUUUAGGUUCAAUAUAGAAUUGUAUUAGUUUAUUCCCUGAACCAUUGAUUCCUUCAUCUUGGUUGCAAUAUUGUUUGCCCUGAUUUGAGUUCAAUUGUUAUUUGAGUUUAGUGAUUUUGAAUCAGAUUGUGGUUAUGUUUAAAUCUGGAGUCUGAUAAGUUAGACUUGAGUUUAAGUCCAGUUUUGUUGUUCCUGAUUCAUUAGGAAUUGACUCAGAUUCUCUAAUUUAGAUAAAUUUGGUUAUAGCUGGGGGUACAGGGUUUGAGGUAGUAGUUCAGGACUUUAGGAGGGUAAUUUGGGGAUUGAAACUUGGAGAGUUGAUUUAAUUGAGUGGUCUGUCCAGUAGGAUACUAAGGUGCCAUUUAAAAUAAUGCAUUUGUUUACGAGUAGUGGGGAAGACAUAAUGAUAUAAAGCAAGGAAAAAGGGAUCGGAAAGUAAAAAAGUUGAGGGGUAAUAAUGAAAAGCUAAAAGAUACACAUAGUAGAGGAAUAUAGAAGCUGGAAAGUAAAAAGAAGUAUGGGAUAAUGAUAAAAGGUUUUCUUUACAACUGUUAAAAGAAACACAUAGUAGAGGAAUAUAGAAGCUGGAAAGUAAAAAGAAGUAUGGGGUAAUGAUAAAAGGUUUCUUUACAACUGUUAAAAGAAACACAUAGUCUCCUCCUCAUUUGAUACUCAAGAAGAAGUGUAUCUUGAAAUUAAAAGGAUUUCAGAAUCUACAAAUGACUCACUAACCAAGCUUCUGAAGUGUGAUUAUGGAGAGUUCCUAAAAAGGGUGAUUAUGGAGAGUUUCCUAAAAAUUCUGAAAUGGGGGCUGCUACUAAGAUACCAGCUCAUUUCAAGAGCUUCUAUGACAGUAUUAAACUCGAACAAGUUCUCAAAAUCAACAAAAAAACUUUGUGGAAGAAAUUCAAGCCAUGUAGACUAAGGAUAUGACUGACUUUUUGAACUUUUUCUUGCAAAAACGGUUCAUGGAAAUGUCACAUCAUCUAAAGGAGUUACCUUAUAUACUGUGGUGUUAUUUUUCAAAGGUGAUUUUUAAUGUAUUGGAGAGGCACUAUGCAACUUGCCCUCAAAUUCCAAGCCCUAAAGAAGCCAUGAGACAUUUAGUUGAAUCAGAGAAAAGAUGCAUUGGCUGAUUGGCUACAAAACUCUUUGGAGAUGGAAAGAUUGAUUUUCAAAACAAUCAAUCCAAAAUAUGAGGUAUUGGUUUUUCAAUCAUCUACCCUGGAGAAGAAGCUGAUGGAGGAGCUCUCGAAAGGUGCCCACACGAUGAUGCUCAACAUAUAAGCUUGGAGCUGGUCAACAUUGAUCAUUUAUCAAAUAAUAACAGUGAUAAUGUUCAGAAAGCAUUCCAAGUUUACAUAAAAGUUGGUAUAUAUUGGGAUAUUAUUUCCUUGAGAUUGCCUGAGUUUAUUAUGGUCUAUAUGACAUCAGCUAUCGAGAGGUUGGUUGAUAAUAUUAAAGGGGAUAUAUUUAUUCAUAUGUGUCGUAGUCUAAUGGGGGCAUGAUAAAUAUUUCAUUUUGCCUGUUUUAUCUCCUAAUGAGUGAUGCUUGAAGAGCGUCUAAAAGCCCAUAAGAAGCAGUUGGUGGACAUCAUUGAAGUUUAAUUUAGUUUUGAAUGUGAUCAAGUAUUAAGUGAUGCAUGAAAGGUAUUUUUUUGUGGUUUAUGUUCUUUUAGGUUAUUUUUUUAAUUUAAAUUUUUGGGUUUGACGUAAUUAUGCUGCUACAAAAAGACAGUUGGGAAGUAGUAGCUCGAUUGUUAAUUUUUUCAUGUUUAGGUGUGUCAUCAUCACUUGGUUUUUAAAUAUUUUAUGAGUUUAGAUAAUCUCUUAGUUUUAAUAUACUUUAUUUUAUGUCUGAACCCACCUUUAAUUUUUCUUCAUCCUUGUUAACCAUUGGCUCUGAUACCACUAGUUGGGAUCGAAAUAAUAUGGAGCAUGCUAGAGCUAACAAAGAGAAUUUUGAUGAUACUAAAAAAUAUAAAACAUUAAUAUAGUUGGAAAACUGUCCUACAUAUGAUAAAAUUAAUUAAAAAGAAAAAAACUAUCUAAAGAAAAAUUUCUACCUAACAAUACUCUUUGGUGUUUACACUGUGAAAGUUGUAUUUCUUGCCACAACUAAUAGAGUUCUUUCACAUUUCUUGUCGACUUUCUUAGAUAUAUUCAUUGACUCAACUUUUUUAGGCAAUGAAUCAGUACUGACUGAUAAUACAUUCAAGAUAAUCUUGUCCUCGGGGUCAAAUAAUUCAAAAUCAUCUGCUAUAUUCGCUCAUAUAUCUCUUUAUUAGCUUCGUCUAAGGUAGGAAUCUCUGCGAAAUCCACAAUUGUAAGAUCAGAAAAACCGUUCUUCUUCAGGAUUAGAGUCAAAUGGUUGUAAGAUACUCCAUUUGUUAUGCCAACAAUUGUGUUUGUCACCCGACUUAUUUCUAAGGCUAUAUACCACUAAUCAUCAUCGGUAGUACUUCUCAGUGUCCUUGUUUUCUCAUCAAACUCGAGGGAAACCUCAAGUUUACGACUAUGAUAAUUUUGAAGCUUAAUAAGGAUAGGAACCCGAGUGCAGAAGUGUCCUUCUAAUAGAAUUUUGAUUCCGAUAAGGGAUGCAAUAAGACAAGAUUUACCUAAACAUGUGUAACCAGCUAGAACACCUGUAGGCACUGCAGGGGGUUGGAUACAUUGCUGCAUCACGCUUAAGCUUCGUUGGAGCUUAUUAAUGAAAUGAAAGAGCGGGGGCAGGAUAGUUUCAUCGGUUAUAUGAUAAGACAUUAGGUGGCGCAUAAUCUUCUUCUGGCCGUGAAUUGCUUUUCUUUUCACUAAUGUCCAUUGCUUGUUCUUUGUUCCAAGAAAAGAUGGAAUGUCACGUUUAGGAUUUAAACCCGUGAAUUAGAGCAAGUUUUGAAUAUUCUUUGCCACUUUAUUAGAUUUUUUUUCUUAUAUUAAAGGGAAUCAACAUUUUAUCCAGUUAAUGAGAUAAAGUAUGGCCCAUUUCCACUAUAUAAACUACUUGUUCUCUUUAUAUUCAUUGUGCUUAAAACAACUUUCUUCUCCAUUUUCUUUCUAGUGACAAAUACUAUAGUUUAUUCAAAACUCCAAUGGCCAGUAGUGUUAAAGUACUUAACGAUGAAAUUAUAGAAAAAAUUGUUGCAAUUGAAGAGUCUCCACCUUAUUUGGAUACUCACGAAGAAGUAUAUCUUGAAAUCAAAUGGAUUUCGGAAUACACAAAUGACUCACUAACCAAACUUUUUAAGGGUGAUUAUAGAGAGUUUCCUAAAAAGGGUGAUUAAGGAGAGUUUCCUAAAAAUUCUCAAAUGGAGGUUGCUGCUAGGAUACCAACUCAUUUCAAGAGCUUCUUUGAUAGCAUUCAGCUCAAAAAAGUUCGUCAAAACCAACAAAAAUUUUUGGUGGAAGAAAUUCAAGCCAUGCAGACUAAAGAUAAGAAUGACUUCUUGAACUUUUUCUUGCAAAAAAGGAUCACGGGAAUAUCAUAUCAUCUAAUGGAGUUACCCUGUCUACUGUGGAUUUAUAUUUCAAAGAUAAUUUUUAAUGUAUUGGAGAGGCACUGUGCAACUUGCCCUCAAAUUAUAUGCCUUAAAGAAGCCAUGAGACAUUUAGUUGAAUCAGCGAAAGACGCAUUGGCUGAUUGGCCACAAAAAUAUUUGGAGAUGGAAAGAUUGAUUUUCAAAACCAUCAAUCAAAAAUAUGAGGUAUUAGUUUCUCAAUCAUCAACCCUGGAGAAGAAGCUGAUGGAUGAGCUCUCGAAAAAUGCUCACACGAUGAUGCUUAACAUAUAAUACUUAAGUUGGUCAACACUGAUCAUUUAUCAAAUUAUAACAGUGAUAUUAUUCAGAAAUCAUUCCAUGUUUACAUAAAAGUUGGUAUUUAUUAGGAUAUUAUUUCAUUGAGAUAUGCUGAUUUAUGAUGGCCUAUAUGACAUCAGCUAUCCAGAAGUUGGUUGAUAAGAUUUAAGGGGAUGUAUUUAUUAAUAUGUGGCGUAGUCUAAUGGGGCAUGAUAAGCAUUUCAUUCUGCCUGUUCUAUCUCCAAAACGAGUGAUGCUUGAAGAGCGUCUAGAAGCCCUUAAAAAGCAGUUGGUAGCCACGAUAGAAAUUUAAUUUAUUUUUGAACGUGACCAAGUAUUAAGUGAUGCAUGAAAGGUGUUUCUUUUGUGGUUUAUAUUGUUUUAGUUUAUUUUUUUAAUUUAAAUUUUCGGGUUUAACGUAAUUAUUCUGCUACAAAAAUUCUGUUGGGAUUCAGUAGCUUGAUUGUUAAUCUUUUCAUGUUUAGGUGUGUCAUCAUCUCUUGGUUUUUAAAUAUUUUAUGAGUUUAGAUAAUCUCUUUGUUUUAAUAUAUUUUAUUUUAUGUCUGAACUCACCUUGAAUUUUUCUUCAACCUUGCUAGCCAUUGGCUCUAAUAUCACUUGUUGGGAUCGAAAUAAUAUGGUGCAUGCGAGAGCUAACAAAGAGAAUUUUGAUGAUACUAAAAAAACAUAAAACUUUAAUAUGGUUGGUCAAUUGACCUACAUAUAAUAAAAUUAAUUAUAAAGAAUUAUCUAAAGAAACAUUUCUCCCUAAUCAAAGCUCUUUGGUGUCUACAUUGUGAAAGUUGUAUUUCUUGCCGCAACUACUAGAGUUCUUUCACAUUUCUUGUCGACUUUCUUAGAUAUAUUCAUUGACUCAAAUUUUUUAGGUAAUGAAUCAGUACUGGUUGAUAAUACAUUCAAGAUAAUCCUGUCCUCGGGGUCAAAUAAUUCAAAAAUAUCAGGUGUAUUCGCUCAUAUAUCUCUUUAUUAGCUUCGUCUGAGAUAGGAAUCUCUGGCAAAUCCAUAAUAGUAAGAUCAGAAAAACUAUUCUUCUUUAGGAUUCGAGUCAAAGGGUUAUUAGAUAUUCCAUUUGAUAUGCCAACAAUUGUGUUUGUCACCCGACUUAUUUCUAAGGCUACACACCACUCAUCGUCAUCGGUAUUACUUCUCAUUGUCCUUGUUUUACUCAUAAAACUCGAGGGAAACCUCAAGUUUACGACUAUGAUGAUUUUGAAGCUUAAUAAGGACAGGAACUCGAGUGCAAAAGUGCCCUUUUAACGCAAUUUUGAUUCCGAUAAGGUAUGCAAUAACGCUAGAUGUACCUAAAUAUACCAACUAGAACAAUUGUAGGCACUACAGGGGGUUGGAUACAUUGUUGCAUAGCGUUUAAGCGUCGUUGCAGUUUAUUAACGAAAUCAAAGAGCGUGGGUCGGAUUGUUUCAUCAUUAUAUGAAGAGACAAUAGAUGGUACAUAAUCUUCUUCUGGUUGCGAAUUGAUUUUCUUUCAUUAAUGUCCAUUGUUUGUUCUUUGUUCCAAGAAAAGAUAGAAUGUCACGUUUAGGAUUUAAACACGUGAAUUAAAGCAAGUUUUGAAUAUUCUUUGCCACUUUAUUAAAUUUUUUUCUUAUAUUAAAGGGAAUCAACAUUUUAUCCAGUUAAUGAUAUAAAGUAUGGCCCGUUUUCACUAUAUAAACAACUUGUUCUCUUCAUAUUCAUUGUGCUUAAAACAACUUUCUUCUCCAUUUUCUUUCUAGUGACAGAUACUAUAGUUUAUUCAAAACUCCAAUGGGCAGUAGUGUUAAAGUACUUAAAGAUGAAUUAUAGAAACAAUUGCUGCAAUUGAAAAGUCUCCUCCUCAUUCUGAUACUCAGGAAGAAGUGUAUCUUGAAAUUAAAAGGAUUUCAGAAUCUACAAAUGACUCACUAACCAAGCUUCUUUAGGGUGAUAUGGAGAGUUUCCUAAAAAUUCUGAAAUGGGGGCUGCUACUAAGAUACCAGCUCAUUUCAAGAGCUUCUACGACAGUAUUAAACUCAAACAAGUUCGUCAAAAUCAACAGAAAAAUUUUGUGGAAGAAAUUCAAGCCAUAUAGAAUAAGGAUAUGACUGACUUUUUGAACUUUUUCUUGCAAAAAAGGUUCAUGGAAAUGUCACAUCAUCUAAAGGAGUUGCCCUGUCUACAGUGGAGUUAUUUUUCAAAGAUUAUUUUCAAUGUAUUGGAGAGGCAUUGUGCAACUUUCCCUCAAAUUCCAAGCCCUAAAGAAGACAUGCGACAUUUAGUUGAAUCAGAGAAAGAUGCAUUGGCUGAUUGGCUACAAAAAUAAUAGGAGAUGGAAAGAUUGAUUUGCAAAACAAUCAAUCCAAAAUAUGAGGUAUUGGUUUUUCAAUCAUCUACCCUGGAGAAGAAGCUGAUGGAGGAGCUCUCAAAAGGUGCCAACACGAUGAUGCUUAACAUAUAAGCUUGGAGUUGGUCAACAUUGAUCAUUUAUCAAAUUAUAACAGUGAUAAUGUUCAGAAAGCAUUCCAAGUUUACAUAAAAGUUGAUAUUUAUUGGGAUAUUAUUUCAUUGAGAUUGCCUGAUUAUAUGCUGAUCUAUAUGACAUCAGCUAUCAGUAGGUUGGUUGAUAAUAUUUAAGGGGAUAUAUUUAUUCAUAUGUGUCGUAGUCUAAUGGAGGCAUGAUAAACAUUUCAUUUUUCCUGUUCUAUCUCCAAACGAGUGAUGCUUGAAGAGCGUCUAAAAGACCAUAAAAAGUAGUUGGUGGCCAUCAUAGAAGUUUAAUUUGUUUUUGAAUGUGAUCAAGUAUUAAGUGAUGCAUGAAAGGUAUUUUUUUGUGAUUUAUGUUCUUUUAGGUUAUUUUUUAAUUUAAAUUUUCGGGUUUGACGUAAUUAUGCUGCUACAAAAAUUCAGUUGGGAUGCAGUAGCUCGAUUGUUAAUUUUUUCAUGUUUAGGUGUGUCAUCAUCACUUGGUUUUUAAAUAUUUUAUGAGUUUAGAUAAUCUCUUAGUUUUAAUAUACUUUAUUUUAUGUCUGAACCCACCUUUAAUUUUUCUUCAUCCUUGUUAACCAUUGGCUCUGAUACCACUAGUUGGGAUCGAAAUAAUAUGGAGCAUGCUAGAGCUAACAAAGAGAAUUUUGAUGAUACUAAAAAAUAUAAAACAUUAAUAUAGUUGGAAAACUGUCCUACAUAUGAUAAAAUUAAUUAAAAAGAAAAAAACUAUCUAAAGAAAAAUUUCUACCUAACAAUACUCUUUGGUGUUUACACUGUGAAAGUUGUAUUUCUUGCCACAACUAAUAGAGUUCUUUUUUUUUGUCUGAACCCACCUUUAAUUUUUCUUCAUCCUUGCUAACCAUUGGCUCUGAUACCACAUGUUGGGAUCGAAAUAAUAUGGAUCAUGCGAGAGCUAACAAAGAGAAUUUUUAUGAUACUAAAAAAAUAUAAAACUUUAAUGUGGUUGAAAAACUGACCUACAUAUGAUGAAAUUAAUUAAAAAGAAAAAAAAUAUCUAAAUAAAAAUUUCUACCUAAACAAUACUCUUUGGUGUCUACAUUGUGAAAGGUAUAUUUCUUGCCACAACUAAUAGAGUUCUUUCACAUUUCUUGUCGACUUUCUUAGAUAUAUUCAUUGACCCAAAUUUAUUAGGCAAUGAAUCAGUACUGACUGAUAAUACAUUCAAGAUAAUCUUGUCCUCGGGGUCAAAUAAUUCAAAACAUCUGCUGUAUUCGCUCAUAUAUCUCUUUAUUAGCUUUGUCUAAGGUAGGAAUCUCUGCCAAAUUCACAAUUGUAAGAUCAGAAAAAUCAUUCUUCUUCAGGAUUAGAGUCAAAUGGUUGUAAGAUACUCCAUUUGUUAUGCCAACAAUUGUGUUCGUCACCCGACUUAUUUCUAAGGCUAUAUACCACUAAUCAUAAUCGAUAGGACUUCUUCGUGUCCUUGUUUUCUCAUCAAACUCUAGGGAAACCUCAAGUUUACGACUAUGAUUAUUUUGAAGCUUAAUAAGGAUAGGAACCCGAGUGCAGAAGUAUUAUUUUAAUGGAAUUUUGAUUCCGAUAAGGGAUGCAAUAAGGCAAGAUUUACCUAAACAUGUGUAACCAACUAAAACACUUAUAGGCACUGAAGGGGGUUGGAUACAUUGUUGCGUCGUGUUCAAGCUUCGUUGCAGCUUAUUAAUGAAAUCAAAGAGUGGGGGCAGGAUAGUUUCAUCGUUAUAUGAUGACACAAUAGGUGGCGCAUAAUCUUCUUCUGGCUGUGAAUUGCUUUUCUUUUCACUAAUGUCCAUUGCUUGUUCUCUGUUCCAAGAAAAGAUAGAAUGUCACGUUUAGGAUUUAAACUCGUGAAUUAAAGCAAGUUUUGAAUAUCCUUUUCCCCUGUAUUAGAUUUGUUUCUUAUAUUAAAGGGAUUCAACAUUUUAUCCUGUUAAUGAGAUAAAGUAUGGCCCAUUUUCACUAGUUUAAUUGUAUUGGAGAGGCACUGUGCAACUUGCUCUCAAUUUCUAAGCCCUAGGGAAGUCGUGAUAUAUUUAGUUGAAUUAGAGAAGAAUGUUUUGGUUGAUUGGCCACGGAAAUAUUUGGAGAUGGAAAAAUUGAUUUUCAAAAUAAUCAAUUUAAAACAUGAGGUAUUUGUUUCUCAAUCAUUUAUCCUAGAGAAGCAGCUGAUGGAGGAGCUUUCGAAAGGUGCCCACACGAUGAUGCUUAACAAUAUAAGUCUUGAGUUGGUUAACAUUAAUCAUUUAUCAAAUUAUAACAGUGAUAUUGUUCAGAAAGCCUUCCAAGUUUACAUAAAAGUUGGUAUUUAUU